rnacentral:rRNA from 1 species
AUUGAACGCUGGCGGCAUGCCUUACACAUGCAAGUCGAACGGUAACGCGGGGCAACCUGGCGACGAGUGGCGAACGGGUGAGUAAUGCAUCGGAACGUGCCCAGUAGUGGGGGAUAGCCCGGCGAAAGCCGGACUAAUACCGCAUACGACCUACGGGUGAAAGGGGGGGACCCCCAGACCUCUCGCUAUUGGAGCGGCCGAUGUCAGAUUAGGUGGUUGGUGGGGUAAAGGCCUACCAAGCCAACGAUCUGUAGGUGGUCUGAGAGGACGAGCAGCCCCACUGGGACGGAGGCACGGCCCAGACUCCUACGGGAGGCAGGAGGGGGGCAUUUUGGAAAUUUGGCGCAAGCCUGAUACAGCCAUGCCGCGAGGGGGAAGAAGGCCUUCGGGUUGUAAACUGCUUUUGUCCGGGAAGAAACACCUAGAGAUAAUACCUCGGGAUAAUGACGGUACCUCAAGAAUAAGCACCGGAUAACUACGUGCCAGCCGCCGCCGUAA